rnacentral:tRNA from 3 species
GUGCUAGUAGCUCAGUUGGAUAGAGCAUCGGCCUUCUAAGCCGGUUGUCGGGGGUUCGAAUCCCUUCUGGCACA